rnacentral:tRNA from 1 species
GGGGCCGUAGCUCAGUCGGCAGAGCGCUUGAAUGGCAUUCAAGAGGUCAGGGGUUCGACUCCCCUCGGCUCCACCA